UCCAUGGCCAGUGUUCUUCAAGAGAGAGUUCAAUCGCACUUGGCCUUUCCUCGUUGGUUUCGCCGUCACCGGGACCAUCAUCACCAAGUUCUCCCUUGGUCUAACCGAGGAAGAUGCUAAGAACUCUCCCUUUGCUCAGAAGCACAAGAGGUGAUCCAACUGAUUUCAAAAGCCUAUAUGGUAUGAGAGGCUCAGUUGUUUUCCUUUUUCCUUUUCCCAAUGAACAAUGAAAAUAACAGAAGACAUCAGUUCUGAGUACACUUUAUUUUGUGAAUUAUGAUUUUGUCAUCAAUUAAUGAUUUUGCUUUGAAUAAGGUUAAAACACCCUUCCAGUUAGUGAUUAUGUUUGACGCCCUUGAUUCUGGGUUUAUGAUAUUGAGAAUCAAAACAUGACAAUUUGUGCCAUUGUUUGCCAAUUAUUAGUUAAUGAACUUAAUGAUGGUUAAGGAUGA